AGUGGUUCGUGUACGCACAAAAUCGUACAAAGCAUAUGACAAUUAUUUACUGUGUUUUAAGUAUGUAAUAAAAUGUUUGGUGCGUUAAGCAUUAUUCAUGACAUGAAUUCUCAUUUUUUGUCUCCGAAAACUAUUACUUUUGAUCCGGACAUAUAGUACGUAGAAAUAUUUACUGUAUACUAGAAACUUAAUAAAGAAACACCAAUAAAUGCUAGAAAAUCACAUGAAAGACAAUGAGGUGC
rnacentral:lncRNA from 1 species